rnacentral:rRNA from 1 species
GACGAACGCUGGCGGCGUGCUUAACACAUGCAAGUCGAACGAAGUGGCGAACGGGUGAGUAACGCGUAAUCAACCUGCCCUUCAGAGGGGGACAACAGAUGGAAACGACUGCUACUACCGCAUACGGAAGGAGGGGAUUGCGUCUGAUUAGCUAGUUGGAGGGUUAACGGCCAACCAAGGCGAUGAUCAGUAGCCGGUCUGGGAGGAUGAACGGCACCAUGGGUACUGAGACACGGCCCAGACUCCUACGGGAGGCAGCAGGGGGGAAUCUUCCGCAAUGGACGAAAGUCUGACGGCGCAACGCCGCGUGAGUGAUGACGGCCUUCGGGUUGUAAAGCUCUGUUAAUCGGGACGCGGUACCGGAAUAGAAAGCCACGGCUAACUACGUGCCAGCAGCCGCGGUAAUAC